UCCGGUGGCAAUACCGGAGGGGUCACACCCGUUCCCAUUCCGAACACGGUAGUUAAGCCCUCCAUGGCUGAUGAUACUUGGGCUGUGAGGCCCUGGGAAAGUAAGUAGCCGCCGGAU
rnacentral:rRNA from 1 species